rnacentral:rRNA from 1 species
AUUGAACGCUGGCGGCAGGCCUAACACAUGCAAGUCGAACGGUAACAGAAAGCAGCUUGCUGCUUUGCUGACGAGUGGCGGACGGGUGAGUAAUGUCUGGGAAACUGCCUGAUGGAGGGGGAUAACUACUGGAAACGGUAGCUAAUACCGCAUAACGUCGCAAGACCAAAGAGGGGGACCUUCGGGCCUCUUGCCAUCGGAUGUGCCCAGAUGGGAUUAGCUUGUUGGUGGGGUAACGGCUCACCAAGGCGACGAUCCCUAGCUGGUCUGAGAGGAUGACCAGCCACACUGGAACUGAGACACGGUCCAGACUCCUACGGGAGGCAGCAGUGGGGAAUAUUGCACAAUGGGCGCAAGCCUGAUGCAGCCAUGCCGCGUGUAUGAAGAAGGCCUUCGGGUUGUAAAGUGCUUUCAGCGGGGAGGAAGGGAGUAAAGUUAAUACCUUUGCUCAUUGACGUUACCCGCAGAAGAAGCACCGGCUAACUCCGUG